UUUUUCAAACAAAUCUCACUUAACAUGAGAACACUAAAAGACAAAAACAGAAAGAGACAAAUAAAAAUCCCGACGUCGACACCCGGAUCGUCGAUCCGUGGCUUUUUCUCGCUUUUACAUGUUUUGUUAUAUGUAUUCAAAACAUUGUAUUAUGUAAAGUUUCAUAAAAAAAAUUUAGUUGUUUUAAAAAAAAGUAAAAAAAAAAAAGGUAUGGAUUUUAAACCUGUCCGGGCUCCCGAACAGGAUCCGGCAUAUAUAUAUAUAUAUAUAUAUAUAUAUAUCCACGACCUGUUUAUUCAAACUCGAAUUAUACUGCUUUUUACUACUUAUAUAUAUAUAUUAAUUGUUUACUGUGUUUAAAUAUCUAUUUUAACUAUUCAUUCAAUGUAAAUCCAUAAUAUUUAAAUAUGUGAACUGGAUUUAUUUAAAUCUAGCCAUAUCUAACUUUUAACCAGUUCAAAAGUUGUUAAACUGGAACCGUUGAGCUAGAAUGGCUAAGAUUUAUUUAAAUCUAGUUUUCUUUCUAGUUUUUUUGUAAAUAUAAGCAACCACGUGACUCUAGAUCUAUAUCUAGAGGGAACGGGAAGCUUAACUAUGCGCAAACAGGGAUUUAGCUGAUGAAUCCUUGGUUUUGCGUCGUUUAGAUUAAAUAUUUAUUUUAUUUCAAUAUCCUCGUUAUGCAGGCUAUUCAUAUAAUAUUAAGUGAGCCUAGGAGCCACGAGAUUUAAGAUCCAGCUGAUGGAUCUAGAUCUGGUUCCCAUGAUGGACCUUUUUAAGUUGUACAGUUAGCUUGUAAAUCAUAUUUGUGGUGUUUGGACAUCUUUCGAUGGCUUUCAUGCCCAUAAGGAGCCCAACACUUAUAUGACUAUUAUUUUGUCGAAGAUGCUUCGCAUCUCGAGAAUAAAAUCAAAUCAAGCCGAAUACAGAAUAAAAUGGAAGUAUCAAAGGCCUCAAUUACUAUGUGAGCAUAAGGGAUUGAAAACUUAUUUUUAAAACAUCAUUUCUGCAUAUAUUGCUUAAAAUUGAACUUUUAUACAAGUCAAACCUUUUGUAUAGCAAACGAGAUAUAGCACUACUUCCAAAUAAUUCACUUAGACCCAAUUAACCACACACACUUCAAAUAAAUCAAGGAAUUAAAAAGACGCGGUAACCGUGUUUUCACGGAAGUCGGGGGGUGCCUAACACAUUCUCCCCGCUUAAUCAAGCCCCCGAACUCUAUGAAUCUCGAUUUCCAAGGCCUGUUAAACAAAGUCCAAUAAUUAGGUCUUUGUGUAAACCUUUUCAAAUUCGGUUGAGUUGGUAGAACUAUUUCACUACUACUAAGUGGCAACUCUGAAUUUUUAAAUCGUUGACAUUUUAUGUCGCAUUCUUUUUCAAACUCGCUCUUUCAAAUAAAAUUCAACAUAGAAAAAAUAUAAAAGGUAGAAAGACUAAAAAGAGGAAUUUCAAAGAACAAAAUAUUUUCCCGACGUGGAUAGUGGUCAAUUCAUUAGUUUUGCCAUUUUAAUACCUAUACAUUUCUUUUUUCAAAAAGCUCACUACACUAUUUUUUUAGAUUAUUUCUUUAGUCCUCAACCGUGUCAUCUUAUUAAAAAUAAUAUCACAUGACAUUAAAAAAAUGAUGAUUUGUAAUUCUUUUAAUCCCAUGCAAGUACGUAUAAAGGCAGUAAAAGCGAUCCUAAACUGAGUCAAUUUUAAAUCAAUUAGGAGUUAACUCGCUCAAUUGGAAAAAAAAUCACGUAAGAUUGGAAUCCAGCCUUCAAUCGACAAAACGGUUCUAUCUCUUCAGAUUUCCCAAAUCCUUCCUCUUGCUCUUCCUCUUCCUCUUCCUCUUCCUCUCCCUCUUUCUCAUAAUCAACAACAACCAUUGAUCAGAAGAAUAAAUCCGUCCCCAAAUAUAUACCAAUACAACUAACAUCGAUGCAACGGGCAAAUCCCAAAUCUCUUUUCUCUAUCUCUGAUUAAACAAAUACGAUUUGGGGCUUUUUUGGGUGGAGCAAUUUGAGAAAUUGCAAAUUAUGAAGUUUGUCGAUCGUUCGAUUUUUGUUGUCGACGACGUUAACUGGUGAGUCCAACGCUAAAUUACACGUGAAAAAUAUCUUUGAGAUGCUCGAAUCCAGUUAACAUUUUAUAAUAAUUCAGUGUAUUCAUGAAAAAUAUCUUUGAGAUGCUUUUGAUUCCAUAGGAGUUUGUUUAGCAGUGCUUUGAGCUGCCGAGAAGAUUGGAGUGUUAACAGAGGGUUGGGAAAGGUUUUCACUUAGCAGAGAGGUUACCAGAAAGUGCGGCACCGUUCGACGAAGAGUAAGGAAAAGGAGUUGAUGCUCGAUGUCAAGAUUUUUAUUGAAGAACAAUUGCCUGACGAUCCUGAAAUGACGGUAUCCGUUUCUCUAGAUAUGCAUAUUAUUGUUUGUAAAUAUAAAUUAUAUGAUUGUUUUAAACGUUUAUUUAGUUCAUGCCUUACUGCGAAUAAGCAAACAACCGUGCUUAAGUAGCAAUGCCAACAUUUCAAACUCUGAGUAUAUCUAUUUUGGAGAGGGAUCGAGCAUGAAAAUGUGUUGAUUUUUGCAGCUUAUAUAUGAGGCCUUGAUUCUGUGUUCUAAUAGCAACAAAGAAAUGGAGAUUCUGUGUUCUGCAAAUUUUGUUAUACAGAGUGUCGAUUUCAUUAUGAAUUUGUACAAAAAUAAAAUAGGUAUGUGAUUUGGGUUUUUUGGAAUUUGUUCUUAAUUAUUUAGUAAUUUGAAGUUCUUAUACUUAAUUGUUCAGGAUUUUUGACUAAUUUGAGAUGGGGUUUGCUGCUUCUCAUGCUCCAAUUUUACAUACAGAUAAAGCUACCAGUGUCUAUCUCUCUUUAUAAAGUUUAAUGCAAGAGCGGUGUGUGUUAAGUAAGCUAUAUAAUUUAAUGCAAGAGUGGAGUGUGUUAAGCUAUAUUCUUACCAGUAUCGGUCUCUCUUUAUAUAAUUUAAUGCAAGAGUGGAGUGUGUUAAGCUAUAUUCUUACUGCAUUUAUCACUUCCCAAUCUCUUUUGAGGUCCUCUGAAAUUACAAAGUGGAGUGUUUUAAGCUAUAUUCUUACUGCAUGUAUCACUUUCCCAAUCUCCUUUGAGGUCCUCUAAAAUGGUAAAAAUAAAUUUCUCAUCUUCUUUUUAGUAAUUUUGAUUCUUUGACAGGAAGUUCUUUUAUAGUUGGGAUCAUGAUAAUAUGUUAUGAUUGGCGAGAAGGCGAGAACUCCUGUAUCGUUUGGUAAUUGAAAAUUAAUUCUUACAGCCUACAAAAUUUAUAUGUCAAUAGUUGUGUGUUACCAAAUAGAAUCAAAUUCAAAAGGUGUAGGUACAGUAAAGUAUGCCUACAAAAAUUAGCACCAAGAGUUGCUUGCUUAGGAAGUAGACAAACGAGUAUAUCACUUUAAGGUUUCGAUCCAGGUAGCAACCAUGUCUCUAAGAACAAACGGGGCGAAGUAGGUACAAAGUUUCUGCCGAUACCGAUAAAGGGCGGCAAAGGAGGGAGGACAACAUAGUUGAGAUCCGAAAGAACAAAAGAGAAGAGAGGUUGCUUAAGAUGCGUCGCGAAGGCCUUCAAGCUAACUAAUUAAAUAAUUUCUCCACUGCCUCUGCUUCUCAGCUCGAAAAGAUGGUAUACAUCUAUGUUAUUUUUUUUAUGAAUUUUUUUUAGUUGAUUGAAGGAAUGAUGACUUCAAUCGCAAAUUUUCAUUCCUGAGCUAUUCAGUUAGUUGGCGGUAAAAUCCCCAAUAACAAUGCUUUGUGAGAAGUGUAAGUACCUAUACUCUUUCGUAAUGAUUCUUACAUACAGUAUAUGUUUAAUCAUAUGAUAUUUAUGUUCUAGGAGGCAUAUAUUAUAAUUAAGAUCGAAUUUGAAAGCUAGGGUUUUGAAUUGAGUUGAGUUUAACAGGUGAGAAGAAGUUGUCGAAGGUGAUAGUACCGGAUAAGUGGAAAGAAGGUGCCAACAACGCCACCGAAGGUGGUGGCCGCAAGAUCAACGAGAACAAACUCCUCUCCAUAAAAAACAAGUUUCUCCUUCUCCUUUUCCUUAUCUACAUACGUUUUUCUAUUUGGGCUUAUUUGUUUUUAUAUACAAUUUACAUUGGUUUAAUUGAUGUUGUGUGCUAGAAGUUUACUAACAGGAGUUUUUGAGACCUAGAUUUUAGAUUGAAACCUAAAUUUGCAACCAAGACACAGAUCUAUAUGACUUAAACUGACAGUUGUUAUAAUGUUUGAAUACUGUAAUAUACUACAUUCAUUCCAAAAUAUUAGAUCACUUGGACUUUGUUUUUGCAAGUGGAGUUGUAUUUUGGGAACGGAUGGAGUAUAUGUGAAGCACGAAUACUUAUAUAGAAGGUAGACAUGCUCAUGUUGCACAUGUGUUGGUCCACAAAAAAGUUGGUCAUUAUCUCUCCUAUUUCACUCAAUUCCACUUACGACCUUCACAUAUAUGGGUAAUUGUUCAUCAAACUUUCGAUUACUUUUAAUGCUUUUUUAUGAUUUCUAUUUGUUCUUUGAAAUUAAGAUGUGGGUAUUUAGAAUUUAUCCUUUUAUGCCUAAUAUAGGUCUAAUUAUUUGGAUUUUGCUUUUAACUUAUGGGGCUUUGUAGUUUUUGCUUCCCCAAUUGUGAAAUUUAUUUAUUUUAAUAUUUUUUUUUCUCUAGGGUUCUUCACUCCAUCCCUCUCCUUCGUCCUUUCUUUUGAUUUGUCAUAGAAUUCUGUAUUUAUAAAAAUAUUUAAAUUUUGAUACUAUUAUUGUAAUUUAGGACUAUAUCCCAGCAGUCUUCGAUAAUUUUAGUGCAAAUGUGGUAAUUGAAGGCACUACUGUCAACUUAGGCCUCUGGAACACAGCUGGUAAUAUUUUCACAAUUAGAAUCUUUUGACUAUUUUCUUAAAUAAGCAUGAUUAUUUCAUAAAUUUGGAUUCAAAGGAAAGCAACUUUCUUAAUUUGGGAAGUUUUAUUUAUGGAUGUAUUGAUUUUCUAUCUAAUUCGCAGGGCAAGAAUAUUACAACAGAUUAAGGCCAUUAAGCUAGAGGCACUGAUGUUUUUUUUCCUGACUUUUUCAUUAGUUAGUCGUGCAAGCUAUGAAAAAAAUUCUUAAACAGGUGCAUUACAUUAUCAGCUUCACAUACCAAUUUAAUUACUGUUUUGGUGGGGUUAUUACUAUCUAUUUUGAUCUCUGAUUGACACUUUCUUCCAUGGGCUUCUCUUUACUUUGCUCUAAACAAAUUUCAAUGCACUUCAUUUGUUUGAGAAAAAGCCUAGCUCAAUUUUGUUACUGUAAUUUAUUUUUUUAGUUGUAGUUGUAGUGAUGAUUUUGUUAAACAAUGUCAAAAAGUUUUAUUCAAAGAAAUUUGUGUAGAAACUUAUGGAACCAAAUGGUUUGCUUUACACACGUUUAGAUAUUGAUGAUUUCUACGAUGGUGAAUUUUAUCGUGUAUAGUACAUCUGCACAAGCAUUUAGCCAUUAGAUAGUACAUUAUAUACUGGAAAAGAAGACCUCAGUUCAUACAUGUUUUGUGUUGACUAUCCCAUAAAUUGAUUAGAAAGUUUUGAAGGGCAUAAUUAAUUUACAUGAAUUGUUUACUUCGAAUUUGUUUUUUUAUAUGAAUGUUGAACAAAUUAUUAAAUACAUUAUUUAAAUUAGCCCGUGCAUACCAACUAGUAUAUAUAAGAUUAAAUCUAAUUUACUUUUUCUCGCAGUUAAUUUGGAAACUUUUAAAAUUCUCAAAAGCAAAGGGGGAGAGAAAGGUUACAACGGAAUCAAUUAUUUGGUUUUCCGUUCUGUUUCUAGUCAGGUAUCGGAUCUUGAUCAGUAAUAGUAGGAGCUCUCAGAAAUGGAAGGUUUCGAGGUAAGUCUAGUAAAAACUACUUUAUUAAGAAUUGUUACUAAUUGCAAAAAUGUUAUUUUUAAAAAAUAAAUUUAUGCAAGAAUUUAAUUUUUAAUUUUAACAAAUUAACUAUGAUCAUUUUUAUUAAUUAGACGGAGAGACCUGAUUUUUAAGGAAUUAAUAGCCAUUUGAGAAUAAUGAUAUCAUAAAAGAUAUUAUUAUCCUUAAUUUCACAUAUUUGGAGUUAAAAAAUUACACCUCAAUAUAUAAGUAUAUAUACUUUCCUUUUUCUCAAUGUCAUGUCAGUUUUUUAAUAAGGUGAUAGCUUUGAGGACUAAACUAAUACUCUAAAAAAUAGUGUAGGGAGAUUUUUUUUAAAAAAACAUACAAGGAUUAAAAUAGAGUACAAAGUUCAAAUGUGUUGUUUUACACGUACAAGAUAUAUAUCUAACCACCAUAAUGAUGACAUUAUAUUUAAGAUUAUAUUUUGUGGGGUCACUCGAUCCCACUGAAAAAAAAUUUGCUUUAUAAUAUAAGGUAAAUUUAAUUUUUUUAAAAUAUUAUAUAUAAAUUGACCCCACUAAAAUUUUAUAAAUUUUCUAUUAUACAGGGUCAAAUGAAAAUUUAUAACUUUGUCAAUCAAAUUUUAAUCAUAUAUGACUCAUAUCCUUUCAAUAUAUGUAUCUCUCUAUAAUAUUUUAAACUAAAUAAUAAUCUAAUUUAUAUUAUUUUUAAAAAUAAAUAAUAAAUUACUUAUGAACAGUUGUGAUUAAAAAAGUCUAUUAUGAGUCAAUAUAGUGUAUAUAUACCAUAUAUUAUUACUCAUUAUACUUUCAUUAUAAUAUAAUAUAUAUAUAUAUAUAUACCCAAAAGUAUAAAGUAUUAAAAAAAAUUGUCUCGGAGGCGCUGCCCCCGAACCCUCGCCAAUUUUUUUUAUAAUUUAGUAAUAAUUUCGACCUCACUAAUAAAAACUUCUGGCUUCGCCACUGAUUAUAACCAAAAAAUUGAAACCCUAACAUUAGCUUUUAAUUAGAAGUUGAUACAUAAUGUUUGUGACAAAGUACUUAAAACAGUCGACGGUAUUGGCAAGGAGACCUCACAUUUCCCCGGAAGAGCCUUCGCGCGCUGAACUAACCCGUUUCAGCUUCUGGGAUGCAUUUUUUAUGCAGUUACAAGCCUUCUGUUUGUCAACAGUAGUAGUUGCAGCAGAUUAAGGGGUGUUUGAUAAAAAUCGAAUGAAUCUGAAUCUGUAUCUGAAUGAGCUGAAUCUGAAUCUGAAUGAAAAAAAUUAUUUUAUAAUUGACAUGUCUGAAACAUCUGAAUAACAGAUUUUUAUUAUUUUAUCCCUCUGAAAAAAUUUAAAAUUGUUAUAAAUUUAUUUAAUAUUACUUAAUAUAAUAUAAUAGUUAAUAUUGUCAAAAAAAAAAAUCAUUCAGUCGUCAAUUAGUCCAUUCAAAAAAAAUGGGACUUAGCCAUUCGGUCCAAAUUGUCUAAAUAGCUGAUCGAUUCAAUCAUUCAGACAAUUUUUUUCCCGAAAUAAACGCACUGAAUGGCUGAAUCGGUCAGUCGUUCAGCCAUUCAGUGCUAAUCAAACAGCCCGAAAUAGCUGAGACUCCAGCGCAAGAGAGAGUUGUUGGCUUGCCACUGCCGAUUUGCAAGUAAAAACAUGGCCUCAGGUUAUUACUUACAUUGCUGCAUGUAACUGCAGCAUAUGAAGAAGGCAGGAGAUAGCAGUAGUAGAAGAAGAAGGAUAAGGACAGUAGUCAUGUUGAAAGGGAUAUAUGGCUUUAUUGAAAGAUUUCAUGGUGUAGGGGAAUUAAAAAGUGGGCAGAAAAGAAAGUAAAAAGAGUAAGUUGAUGUGUUGUAUUAUGUUUAUGUUUUGUGCUGGUUAUAGGAGAUUUUGGGACGCUCACUACUGCAAGAAAUUUAGCUAAAAGAUUUGUGUGUAAAUAUACGGUAUUUAGAUCCGCCCUCUGUCUCUUUCUCGAUCUUAUUCACCGUCUAAUUAAUGUAUUGAUGUCACGUAAUACUUAUUCAUUUAAAAAAUUAAUCGUAUAUAAAUAAAUAAUUUAUAUUACACUUGACAACAAUAUAUAAUAUGAUACAAGAGAUGAGACAGAGAACGUGAGAGAAGAUUUAGACUUAUAUACACACAUUGAGUAGUACCUUAUUCUGAGAGAUAUAUGAAUAAGCUAUAUCCUUAAUAUAUUUAUAUUUUUAAUAAGUUCUUAUAUUCUGCAUGAAGAGUAGUAUAUACGCACUUUUUCAAAUAAUUUACGAAGUCAAAAUUUAUUUGGUGGAAUUUAUAAGGUUUUUGCACACAAUUAAUCUAUAUUAAGUGGAUGUAAAUUCACUACAAGAAAAAGAGUCAUUGAUGACGGGUUUAUUGGCGACGGCAUAUGUCCUGUCGCUAAUGACCUUAAUCUAAUUGUUUUUGCACACAAUUAAUAUUGGUUUUUUCAGUUAAUCCUGAACAUGUUCAAUUCUACUAUUUGAUUUCUGGUUCAGGCACAUGCAACAAUCAGGUACAUACAAACAGAUUUUUCAUUCAUAUUCCAAAGGAAAGGGUGCUCCAAUUUCAAACAAACACAACUGUAAUAUUGCAAUAUUAAUAACCUCACUGGUUUUCCACCUGAAAAGUGAAAAUACAUUAAUUUGAUACAAAACAAGAUGUGACAACUCUAGAUCAUGCAUGCAUAUAGCUCAAAUGAUCCAUAAACCAAAUAUUACUAGAAAAAUUAAUAUUACAUGCAUGGGUACAUCCCAAAUAUUAUUGAAACAUGAUAUAGGACAAGCUUUUCCCUUCAGAUCAUGCUGCUUCAGAUUUAGGUAAUCCUGCAAACAAAAGGUGACCAAAACAAGAAAAACAAAAGGUUAAUUAAUUUAAAACACGGGGCAUGACAUAUUCUAUAAAUUAAUAGAAAAGAAAAUGUGUUGACUUUUGUUGUGAGUACAGUCUCCAAAUUAAUAUAGUUACAUGGGUAAUUGAUUAAUUGCCUCUAUUGUAUACUGACAACCAAUUAUUUUAUCAGACUCAGAUCGGUUAUCGAAUCGAAAAAUUUAUUGGGUAGUCUAUCAUUGUUUCAACUGGUGGAACCAUUAUCGUACCCGGCGAUGUCAUAAAUACAUUAAAAAUGUACUAUUAAUAAUUAAUAAAAUUUUAAAACAUUGUUUUUUCGAUAUAGUAAUAUUAUAUAAUGAAGUUGUGUUGGAAUAUGACUAAACAUGUUUGAUCUCAC
rnacentral:lncRNA from 1 species